UAAGGAAUAUUGGACAAUGGCCGCAAGGCUGAUCCAGCCAUGCCGCGUGCAGGAAGACGGACCUAUGGUUUGUAAACUGCUUUUGAACUAGAGAAAACCCCUUUACGUGUAAAGGGCUGAUAGUAUAGUUAGAAUAAGCAUCGGCUAACUUCGUGCCAGCAGCCGCGGUAAGACGAAGGAUGCAAGCGUUAUCCGGAUUCAUUGGGUUUAAAGGGAGCGUAGGCGGACUUGUAAGUCAGUGGUGAAAUCUUUGGGCUUAACCCAGAAACUGCCAUUGAUACUGCAGGUCUAGAGUACAGUUGCCGUUGGCGGAAUAUGACAUGUAGUGGUGAAAUACUUAGAUAUGUCAUAGAACACCGAUUGCGAAGGCAGCUAACGAAGCUGUAACUGACGCUGAGGCUCGAAAGUGCGGGGAUCAAACAGGAUUAGAUACCCUGGUAGUCCGCACUGUAAACGAUGAUUACUCGUUGCUGGAAGGUAACUUUCAGUGACCAAGCGAAAGCGAUAAG
rnacentral:rRNA from 1 species